AUGUGCCACGCGUACACUCCGGUUCCGGGCGCGCCUUCCGUAUCCACCUGGCGACUGCCCGUUACGUUUUGUCAGCC
rnacentral:sRNA from 5 species